AACGAACGCUGGCGGCAUGCCCAACACAUGCAAGUCGAACGAGACCUUCGGGUCUAGUGGCGCACGGGUGCGUAACGCGUGGGAACCUGCCCUUAGGUUCGGAAUAACUCCCCGAAAGGGGUGCUAAUACCGGAUAAUGUCUUCGGACCAAAGAUUUAUCGCCUUUGGAUGGGCCCGCGUUGGAUUAGCUAGUUGGUAGGGUAAAAGCCUACCAAGGCGACGAUCCAUAGCUGGUCUGAGAGGAUGAUCAGCCACACUGGGACUGAGACACGGCCCAGACUCCUACGGGAGGAAGCAGUGGGGAAUAUUGGACAAUGGGCGAAAGCCUGAUCCAGCAAUGCCGCGUGAGUGAUGAAGGCCUUAGGGUUGUAAAGCUCUUUUACCCGGGAUGAUAAUGACAGUACCGGGAGAAUAAGCUCCGGCUAACUCCGUG
rnacentral:rRNA from 1 species